rnacentral:rRNA from 1 species
AGUGAACGCUGGCGGUAGGCCUAACACAUGCAAGUCGAACGGCAGCACAGUAAGAGCUUGCUCUUACGGGUGGCGAGUGGCGGACGGGUGAGGAAUACAUCGGAAUCUACUUUUUCGUGGGGGAUAACGUAGGGAAACUUACGCUAAUACCGCAUACGACCUACGGGUGAAAGCAGGGGAUCUUCGGACCUUGCGCGAUUGAAUGAGCCGAUGUCGGAUUAGCUAGUUGGCGGGGUAAGGGCCCACCAAGGCGACGAUCCGUAGCUGGUCUGAGAGGAUGAUCAGCCACACUGGAACUGAGACACGGUCCAGACUCCUACGGGAGGCAGCAGUGGGGAAUAUUGGACAAUGGGCGCAAGCCUGAUCCAGCCAUACCGCGUAGGUGAAGAAGGCAUUCGGGUUGUAAAGCCCUUUUGUUGGGAAAGAAAAGCAGCAGGUUAAUACCCCGCUGUUCUGACGGUACCCAAAGAAUAAGCACCGGCUAACUUCGUG